AACGAACGCUGGCGGCAUGCCUAACACAUGCAAGUCGAACGAGACCUUCGGGUCUAGUGGCGCACGGGUGCGUAACGCGUGGGAACCUGCCCUUAGGUUCGGAAUAACUCCCCGAAAGGGGUGCUAAUACCGGAUAAUGUCUUCGGACCAAAGAUUUAUCGCCUUUGGAUGGGCCCGCGUUGGAUUAGCUAGUUGGUAGGGUAAAAGCCUACCAAGGCGACGAUCCAUAGCUGGUCUGAGAGGAUGAUCAGCCACACUGGGACUGAGACACGGCCCAGACUCCUACGGGAGGCAGCAGUGGGGAAUAUUGGACAAUGGGCGAAAGCCUGAUCCAGCAAUGCCGCGUGAGUGAUGAAGGCCUUAGGGUUGUAAAGCUCUUUUACCCGGGAUGAUAAUGACGGUACCGGGAGAAUAAGCUCCGGCUAACACCGUG
rnacentral:rRNA from 1 species